rnacentral:tRNA from 1 species
AUCUAAUUGGCAGAAUAAGUGCAUUAAGUUUAAGUCUUAAAUAUAAUUAUAUAUAUAUAUAUC